GGGUAAGUAGGUAGGGAGACAGGUGAGUAGACAGGUAGGUGGGUAUACAGGUAAGUAGAUAAGGAGACAGGUGAGUAGACAGGUAGGUGGGUAGAUGGGUAAGUAGAUAGGGAGACAGGUGAGUAGACAGGUAGGUGGGUAGACGGGUAAGUAGAUAGGGAGACAGGUGAGUAGACUGGUAGGCGGGUUGAUGGGUAAGUAGGUAGGGAGACAGGUGAGUAGACAGGUAGGUGGGUAGACGGGUAAGUAGGUAGGGAGACAGGUGAGUAGACAGGUAGGUGGGUAGACGGGUAAGUAGAUAGGGAGACAGGUGAGUAGACUGGUAAGUAGAUAGGGAGACAGGUGAGUAGACAGGUAGGUGGGUAGACGGGUAAGUAGGUAGGGAGACAGGUGAGUAGACAGGUAGAUGGGUUGAUGGGUAAGUAGAUAGGGAGACAGGUGAGUAGACUGGUAAGUAGAUAGGGAGACAGGUGAGUAGACAGGUAGGCGGGUUGAUGGGUAAGUACGUAGGGAGACAGGUGAGUAGACUGGUUGGUAGACAGUCAGACAAACAUGUAGAGAGGUAGGUAAGUAGACAGGCAAAACAGACAGGUAGGCAGCUAGACAGGUAGGUAGAUAGGGGGGAAGAAACAGACAUACAGGGAGGUAGGUUGGUAAACAGGUAAGUAGUUAUGUAUGUAGAAGUAUGUAGAAGUAAGUAGGUAGGGAGACAUAUGGGGAGACAAGUGGAUAGACAGCUAAGUUAGGAAGAUGUGUAUGUAAACAGGUAAAUAGUUGGUUAAACAGGUACAGUAAGUACACAGACAAGUGGGGAGACUGGUGGCUAGAAAGGUAGACGGGUGUGCGGACAUGUAGGAAGGUAGACGGGUAGGUAGACAGGUUGGUGGAUAGACAGACAGACAGGAAAGUAAGUACACAGGCACACACACAGAUUGACUGAUGGUGCUGAUUUCUAAAAUAAAUGAUCACUGAAAUAAAACACACUAUAGAUACAGGGUUCUUAGGAUGAUAACGGGAGCAUUUCUGAAAGGGCGACGUUCUAACGCUUCCCUCACAGACACACCGUAAAGAACCCGUUCAGGGUGCCGAACUUAACCGUUCUAGAUAAUAGCUUUAACCUGAAUGAAUGUUGAUCUAAAGCUGAUCAAAAAUACCCAGCCUCUUACAGUAAAGCACAAACACACUGGAAACAUGCACCUCAUCAUCUCAUCAUGGAAACCAGGACAAAUACAAGAUGCUUAUUUCUUUUUGCUGUAA
ensembl:lncRNA